rnacentral:rRNA from 1 species
CGACGAUCCGUAACUUGGUCUGAGAGGAUGAUCAGUCACACUGGAACUUGAGACACGGUCCAGACUCCUACGGGAGGCAGCAGUGGGGAAUAUUGGACAAUGGGCGAAAGCCUUGAUCCAAGCCAUGCCGCGUGUGUGAAGAAGGUCUUCGGAUUGUAAAGCACUUUAAGUUGGGAGGAAGGGCAGUUACCUAAUACGUAAUUGUUUUGACGUUACCGACAGAAUAAGCACCGGCUAACUCUGUGCCAGCAGCCGCGGUAAUACAGAGGGUGCAAGCGUUAAUCGGAAUUACUGGGCGUAAAGCGCGCGUAGGUGGUUUGUUAAGUUGAAUGUGAAAUCCCCGGGCUCAACCUGGGAACUGCAUCCAAAACUGGCAAGCUAGAGUAUGGUAGAGGGUGGUGGAAUUUCCUGUGUAGCGGUGAAAUGCGUAGAUAUAGGAAGGAACACCAGUGGCGAAGGCGACCACCUGGACC